GGGAGAGGUGGGGGCUCUAUUUAAGCCUGUGUGUGUGUACUCAUUCUGUUUUGGUCUUCUCCUGCUGGGUGCUUGUGGAGACGUUACAGGGUUGGCGUGCUGUACGUUUUUGCCGCUGCCCUAGGUCGUCAGUUUGCUGCGGUGUGAGCCGACCCUGUCUUGGCUGUGGAUGUCCCCACGUGGGUAGAUGUACACCUGGGCUGCUGGCGUUGGGUGUCUCGUGUGAGCCGCUGUGUGCGUGCGCGGAGUGGGUGCCUCCGCCGGGGUCUAAGGGCGGCGUGUCCUGUAAAUCGCUAGACCGGGCUGCAGCCUCAUACAUGCUGCUGCAGGGCUAUCGUGGUGCCACAACUAAUUAAAGGGCCAGUACUCCCCGGCGCGUUCUUCUCCCACUGAUGCUGUUCUGGAGACUGGUACAAAAGUGUUCUGGAGACUGGUACAAAAGUGUUCUGAAUACUAGUACAAAAGUUGUCUGGAUACUAGUACAAAAGUGUUCUGGGUACUGGUACACAAUUGGCUCUGUAAAGAUUUGUAUUAACUGUUGUACAUAUUGCAUGUGGGUUUUUGUUUCUUUUCAUUUUGGUUGAUUUGCUGUUUUCUCAUUAUGCAUGCUCUAUUGUUGAUUUGAAUUGUGUUUUGUUUCUUGUUUAUUACUUUUCUA